rnacentral:misc_RNA from 1 species
AAGUCGUAACAAGGUUUCCGUAGGUGAACCUGCGGAAGGAUCAUUAUUGAUUUAAAAGGAUGUGCUGGCUGCCCUCACAGGUUUGCAUAUGUGCACUCCCAAAAUCUCCAUCCUCUACACCAUUGUGCACACCCAGUAGGCAAAACAAUGUGAGUCGACUUUUGUGUGUCGGCUUCAGAGCAAUAGCAAUAUGUGCACAUUGUCUGCCUAUGUUUUUAUACCAAACCCCAAUAAUAUGCCAGAAUGAUGUAUUGCAGUAAGCUUUCACAAGCUGAAAUCUAAUACAACUUUCAACAAUGG